GAUCCUGGCUCAGGACGAACGCUGGCGGCGUGCUUAACACAUGCAAGUCGAACGGGAAUCCAAGAAAGAGCUUGCUCUUUCUUGGAUUCUAGUGGCAAACGGGUGAGUAACACGUAAACAACCUGCCUUCAGGAUGGGGACAACAUACGGAAACGACUGCUAAUACCGAAUACCUUCCAAUUUCCGCAUGGAGAUAGGAAGAAAAGGGUGGCCUCUACUUGUAAGCUAUCGCCUGAAGAGGGGUUUGCGU
rnacentral:rRNA from 1 species